rnacentral:tRNA from 1 species
CAUUAGAUGGCUGAAGUGUAAGUAAUGGUCUCUUAAACCAUAUAAUAGUAUAUUAAACAAUUACUUCUAAUG